UGGCUGCGUCGCGACUGGCGUUGGGUGGAUGACCACCGGGGAGCGGCAGACAUGGGACACCGCGGAUCGUACGCCUGGGCCGGGGUC
rnacentral:ncRNA from 1 species